GUGGUUGUGGCUCAGUGGUAGGGCGCUCGCCUAGCAUGCGUGAGGCACUGGGUUGAAUCCUCAGCACCACC
rnacentral:tRNA from 1 species